CGCCGCCAGCGGGGCUUUAUAAGCGGGGAAAUGGCCCAAACGCCGCAGUCGGAGCAUCUCUGGGCGCGGUGGUGCGGGCUCUGUUCGGGCACGGAGCGGUAGCGAUGCCGGACCGAUUCCCCCCCUCCAAUCGCAUCUCCCCCCUCGAGCAUCUCGGGAUCGUCCCCUCCGGGAGAUGUGAGCGCGGAUGAUGGUGGUGGGGUGAUGCGGCGGCUGGGAGGCGGCCCGCUGAGGUUUUGGUACCUGCCAUUGCUGAUGGGCAGAUGGAUGUGAUGGCUGUUGGAGUGUCCUUUGUACCUGGAAGAGAGAAGGCACAAUCAGCCUGACCGUGUGUGGGUUUGGGACUUUCUCCCCUUUGGCCAAGCAAGGAGGAUUUAUCUUGAGACUUCUGGCUGCUGGGAUAUCGCACCUGGAGCCCUCAUGGACUGCCGUGGGUUUUGGAUGCACCCUUCUGCCUGGAGCUGGAAAUGCGUGCUGCUGCCAGGUGGCCACAGACACCUGCUCCUCUAAACCUGCUGGAUUAUUUCUUUUGGCAUCACUCAGCCAGCGUGGCAGCUUUUCCUCAGCUCGUGCAACUGCCUUUGGUGUUUGAGAUCACCUGACUUGCAGAUGUAGAAAGCUGCAGUUGCAGCCCAGCCUGCAGACACCUCUCCUUUUUGGGCUACUAUUUCUCAGCGUUGCAGCACUUUGGGACAAGACCCCGUCCAUACACAUGUGUGGGAAUGUCCUGCUGGUCUGAGGGCCAGCAGUGGAGGCUCGAGGUGCACCUGAGAGGAGAGCCGAUGCACUGCAGCAGGAGCAGCCACCAGGACCUCACCAUGGAUGGGAGGGAGGCAGCACAGUGCCCAGCACCUGCAGGGAUUGGGAUGCACCUAGGGUCAUGCCGUGCUCCUUCCCCCAGCACUGAUGUGGGAACAGCCCCAGUGCAGCCACCCACCACCGCCACUGUGAUCCGGGGUCCUGAGCUGACCUCACUCU